GAUGAACGCUGGCGGCGUGCCUAAUACAUGCAAGUCGAGCGAACGGACGAGAAGCUUGCUUCUCUGAUGUUAGCGGCGGACGGGUGAGUAACACGUGGAUAACCUACCUAUAAGACUGGGAUAACUUCGGGAAACCGGAGCUAAUACCGGAUAAUAUUUUGAACCGCAUGGUUCAAAAGUGAAAGACGGUCUUGCUGUCACUUAUAGAUGGAUCCGCGCUGCAUUAGCUAGUUGGUAAGGUAACGGCUUACCAAGGCAACGAUGCAUAGCCGACCUGAGAGGGUGAUCGGCCACACUGGAACUGAGACACGGUCCAGACUCCUACGGGAGGCAGCAGUAGGGAAUCUUCCGCAAUGGGCGAAAGCCUGACGGAGCAACGCCGCGUGAGUGAUGAAGGUCUUCGGAUCGUAAAACUCUGUUAUUAGGGAAGAACAUAUGUGUAAGUAACUGUGCACAUCUUGACGGUACCUAAUCAGAAAGCCACGGCUAACUACGUGCCAGCAGCCGCGGUAAUACGUAGGUGGCAAGCGUUAUCCGGAAUUAUUGGGCGUAAAGCGCGCGUAGGCGGUUUUUUAAGUCUGAUGUGAAAGCCCACGGCUCAACCGUGGAGGGUCAUUGGAAACUGGAAAACUUGAGUGCAGAAGAGGAAAGUGGAAUUCCAUGUGUAGCGGUGAAAUGCGCGGAGAUAUGGAGGAACACCAGUGGCGAAGGCGACUUUCUGGUCUGUAACUGACGCUGAUGUGCGAAAGCGUGGGGAUCAAACAGGAUUAGAUACCCUGGUAGUCCACGCCGUAAACGAUGAGUGCUAAGUGUUAGGGGGUUUCCGCCCCUUAGUGCUGCAGCUAACGCAUUAAGCACUCCGCCUGGGGAGUACGACCGCAAGGUUGAAACUCAAAGGAAUUGACGGGGAUCCGCACAAGCGGUGGAGCAUGUGGUUUAAUUCGAAGCAACGCGAAGAACCUUACCAAAUCUUGACAUCCUUUGACAACUCUAGAGAUAGAGCCUUCCCCUUCGGGGGACAAAGUGACAGGUGGUGCAUGGUUGUCGUCAGCUCGUGUCGUGAGAUGUUGGGUUAAGUCCCGCAACGAGCGCAACCCUUAAGCUUAGUUGCCAUCAUUAAGUUGGGCACUCUAAGUUGACUGCCGGUGACAAACCGGAGGAAGGUGGGGAUGACGUCAAAUCAUCAUGCCCCUUAUGAUUUGGGCUACACACGUGCUACAAUGGACAAUACAAAGGGCAGCGAAACCGCGAGGUCAAGCAAAUCCCAUAAAGUUGUUCUCAGUUCGGAUUGUAGUCUGCAACUCGACUACAUGAAGCUGGAAUCGCUAGUAAUCGUAGAUCAGCAUGCUACGGUGAAUACGUUCCCGGGCCU
rnacentral:rRNA from 1 species